GACGAACGUUGGCGGCGUGCUUAACACAUGCAAGUCGAACGGUGAAGCGCCUUCCUUUUUGGUGGGUGUGGAUGAGUGGCGAACGGGUGAGUAACACGUGAGUAACCUGCCCCCUUCUUCUGGAUAACCGCAUGAAAGUGUGGCUAAUACGGGAUAUUCUGGGUCUGUCGCAUGAUGGGUCUGGGAAAGAUAUUGUUUCGGUGGGGGAUGGGCUCGCGGCCUAUCAGCUUGUUGGUGGGGUGAUGGCCUACCAAGGCGGUGACGGGUAGCCGGCCUGAGAGGGUGGACGGUCACACUGGGACUGAGACACGGCCCAGACUCCUACGGGAGGCAGCAGUGGGGAAUAUUGCACAAUGGGCGCAAGCCUGAUGCAGCGACGCCGCGUGAGGGAUGGAGGCCUUCGGGUUGUGAACCUCUUUCGCCAGUGAAGCAGGCCUGCCUCGUUUGUGGGUGGGUUGACGGUAGCUGGAUAAGAAGCGCCGGCUAACUACGUG
rnacentral:rRNA from 1 species